AUCCUGCUAUAUCCUUUAAAGACGUGUGAGACUCCCUCACUUCACUUACGAAUUAGCAGUGGAGACGACUGGAUGUCCUAUCAGCUUUGUGCUCUGGAACAAGGAAAUAAAGUUCUUAUUUUCACGUGGAAAACCCGGAGAAGCCUAAAUUACUCGGUCAUCCAAGAGUAUUGUUGGAGUUUUAUAUUUCUCCCAUCCUCGUGCUUCCAGUUCCGAUCGGGAAAUCUUUUGAUGGAUGGAAAUUCGGAGAAGUUUGGGACAUGUGUAUAUACUGUUUUCUUGGGCCCAGACAGGGUUGCAUGAGUGAGACCUUUGUUAAUGUGAAUCGUCAGGCCCAAGGUGUUGUAUCCCUUUUGACCAUUUUAGUUAGUUCUUCAAAAGAAGCAAAUGGAAGUGGAUGUGCCUUCGUGAGCAUACGAAUAAAAUCAUUUACUUCACUUCACAGAUAAAUAGUAUUGCAAAUAAUUACCUCCUUUAAUUUAGUUUGAUGUCUAGAUCUUGGUCUUCGACAGUUGCUUUCUAGUCAAGGAUUCAAUAUAGUUUGAUAAGCAGUGGUUUGCUCGAGAGAUCGGUCGACAGUGUCCCUCGCUCUUGGUUCGUCCAGGAUGAGAGGUCUGCCCCAAAGACAAGGCCCUUUUGCCCAGGGGGUUGGCCACAUGUUGGGCUGUUUAGGUAAUCUGCUAGGGUUUUCCCAAAUAAUCCCAUGGGCUUCACCCAAACCAUUUACUUAUCAUUUCCGAGAUCUGUCCGACACUUGGGACAAUUUACCCGGUCAUAAAUGAACCUUUGGGCCCUUCAGGCUCAUUCCUGCCGUUAAGAGAAGCUCCUCGGUCUGCCAAAACCGUAAUAAACCCUCGGGAGAUCCCCAGAAAUUUCUCCAUGACACCACAACACAACCUUCAGGCUUCCUUCAGGCCCUCCACCUUUCCUUGCAUCCUCCGGUGUAUAAAACGGAGGACAUGCAAACAUUAAUUAGUUAAAAAUACACAGUAGAGAGCAGAAUAUCUACUUUAGAAAAUCUCCAAGUGUCAUCUUACUUAUAAGUUUCCAUACGAUUUUUAAUAAUAAAUAUCUGUUUCUUCCCAUAUAAAACUGUGUGUAUAAAUUUAUUAUUCGGGAAUACAACAACAUUUACAUAAUAAACUGUAAACAGCGGGAAGGGCAGGAAAAAUAAUGUGAAAGAAAGAGAACAUUUGAAACAUCAAAGAAAUAAACUGAAUUGAGGUGAAUGCAUUUAUGUAAUGUAAUUUUCCCUUAUUAUUUUUUAUUAUAAUAUGAAAAUAAAAUUUUACAAAAAUGCUAGCACACAUGCUUGAUUACUUCACUCCUCAAAUAGAGAAAAAAAUGCGCAUUCAUGUAAUUCCAAGAAAACUUUCAAUACAGAAACUGAUACACUCGCCGAGUGCACAAUCAUAUAAUCUGUAGGUUGUAAAAUAACUAAUUAUGUAUACUCACGGCGUGUUUCAAAGUCUCAAUAUGUGAUUCUUUCAACACACCAAAAUUGCAUGGAAUUUCAUGCUGAUGUCGUAGAAAUUCCUUAUUUGGAGAGAUUUUAUUCCAGCUAUAUAAGAAAAAUGGAUAAAUCAGUAUGAAUACUUUUGUUAAAUGCCCGUAUUCUAGUUCAUCAAUUCUCAUCAUGUGGCUUU